CUCCGCUUGCUGUGCUUCUGUUUUCUGACAGAAACACCUCCAGAGAAGAAGCUGAAGAGUUGUUACGACUUCUGUUCCGGGUGGCUGUGACAGACGGGGGCCGGCGGGGUGAUCCGGUGAACCCCGGGGCUGAAACAUGGGCCUCUUGUCGAGGAUACGGAAGGAGUGGUUCAUCAUCGGGAUAGUGCUGGUCAUCUUAUCGGCCAAACUGCAACCCAGCGUCGGUGUCAGAGGAGGUCCAUUAAAGCCAGAGAUCACCAUCGCGUACGUUGCCGUCUCGCUCAUCUUCUUCAACAGCGGCCUGUCACUGAAAACAGAGGAGUUGACCAGCGCGCUGCUUCAUGUUCGACUUCACCUGUUUGUUCAGUCCUUCACAUUGAUCUUCUUCCCACUGGCCGUCUGGCUGCUGCUCAAAGUGCUCGCACUGACUGCCAUCGACCAAUGGCUGCUCAGAGGGUUACAGACGGUGAGCUGCAUGCCCCCUCCGGUCUCCUCGGCUGUAAUUCUCACCAAGGCUGUCGGAGGCAACGAGGCUGCUGCCAUCUUCAACUCCGCGUUUGGAAGCUUCCUGGGAAUCAUUGUGACUCCAGCGCUGCUGCUGCUGUUUCUGGGCUCUUCAUCCUCCGUUCCCUUCUCCUCCAUCUUCUCUCAGCUCUUCAUGACUGUGGUGGUUCCUCUGAUCCUGGGUCAGGUGUGUCGUGGUUUCGUCAGGGAGUAUCUGGAGAGGCGAAAGCCUCCGUUUGGCGCCGUCAGCAGCGCCGUCCUCCUCAUGAUCAUCUACACCACUUUCUGUGACACCUUCAGUAACCCCAACAUUGAGCUGGACCCCACCAGUCUGCUGCUGGUCGUCCUCAUCAUUUUCUCCAUCCAGCUCAGCUUCAUGCUGCUCACGUUUGCCUUUUCCACCAGGUCGGGUUCAGGAUUCAGCCCUGCAGACACAGUCGCCAUUGUAUUCUGCUCCACUCACAAGUCUCUCACUUUGGGUAUCCCCAUGCUUAAGAUUGUGUUUGAGGGCUACGAGCAUCUCUCUCUGAUCUCAGUUCCUCUGUUGAUCUACCAUCCGGCUCAGAUCCUGCUCGGCUCCGUCCUUGUACCAACCAUACGCAGCUGGAUGACCACCCGGCAGAAGUCUAGUCUGUUGUUGAGAUAGGGCCGCAUUCCAACACUGCUGUCCUGAGUGCAUGAAAAUUGAAAUAGUACCAGUGUACACAGAAGGGGGUGAAACUGUCAGCUCUUCAGCCCAUCUGACGAAGAUGAGUGUUUUGGUGAUUCAGCGCAAGCGUGUGUGUGUUUUUGUUUUCUGUGAUGGCGGACUACAGUGGAGUUUUAUGUGCCUUAUUACAACAGAUCAACAGAGACCUCAGUGCAGCGGAAAAGAACAAGGAGCGCCAGCCGCCUUGAUGUUCUCAGUUUCUACAACAACAAAAAACUCAUAUUUCAUAUUUCCAUCAUAUAUUCUUUUAUAUUUAAAAGAAUCAAAAGUACAAUUUUUAUUUUUAUAUGAAAUACCUGAAAUUUCCUGCAGAAAGAGGACAGCUGUUAGGGGUGUUUUGGUUUGGAAAACAGCACCUUCCAGCAGGAACAAGAAGGGUGGAGUUACUGGGACCAUUCUUUUUUAUUGUUCUUGGUAUUUUCUACUUUUUUGUACUCUUGCUGUCACUGCCAGAAAAUGUAGACAUUUAUGUUCUUGAUAGAAACAAACUAAUGCUGGACGCAGUCAUGACAGCUGAUUUUUUCCUUUUGAGGAUAUGGUGUUGUGUUAACCAAUGAACUAUCCAAAUGAUGAAGGUAUGACAUGAACAUUGAAGUAGGGAGUCUAAUUUAACAAAAUAUCAUUAUCUUUCCUGGUUUCUUGCAGAUAGUUUACGUGUCUUUAAUUGCAUUAUUCACACAUUUACUCACUCUGUUUUUAUGUUUUAGUCUUGAUCAGUUUCCUGUCCACACGUUUGCCCCACACGUACUGGUUCUGACAUUCUGACAAGGACAAUUUUAACUUGGACCAAUAAGCAGGCAGGAUUAUAAUCUGGGUUCCUAUCAAGCAGAUGUUAUCCAGCAGAAAAAAGGAUUCCAAUGCAAAUAUUAUUUUGAAAGAUUAUGUCCUACAAAUAUUGUAUGUAAAUAAUAUCCUAUUCUAAAUCUA